GAAGCUCAUGUCGAACGAGGGCGAGGCCUGAGUCCCGACGUUCAAGGUCUGGACGUCGAACUCGCCGACCCUGAACUUGGGGGACUUGAACUUCAUGAUGACUAGGACGAAGAAGACGGCCACGACGACCUGAAAGAUGACGAAGGCAGUGAUGCCGAUCGUCCACUUCAUCCUCUUAUUGCGCUUCGCCUCCUCGUGGCUCAGGGACUCAUGGUCGGGCUUCGACAUCGCCGAUCUCUUCUCUCUUUUUUCCGAACAGAAGGUUGUGUUUCUGUGUGAUUUCGACCGGCUUUCUCUAGAACGAAUGUGGAAAUCUGGAGAAGCUGUGAGGGAAUGAAUUGAGGAGGUGGGCGUUUAUAUAGACUUCCGUGCCUGCCGAAGCCUCCUUCCUAGAAGACGUCGUUCGAGUCCCACACGCCAAAAGUCAUCGAUGUCGAAAUUUCUUACUUUCUAGACGAACGCGCUUUUCUCUAAUCUGAAAAGGAAUAUAAUACUACAUAUAUAUAUAUAUAUAUAUAUAUAUAUAUAUAUAGAAGCUUAGAUUAUUGUGGGGUCUUCAGCCAACUCUCGAUCUACAAUCGAGAAGCUCGAGUUUUUUUACUUCGGGGACGCAAGGGUUUGGUCAACUUGGGAAAUGGAACAGUUAACUGUGUCUUUUUAAUGAUUAUUGAGAAGACAAAGUUCGUUAAUCUCGGGUUGACUAAUACGCAGUCGAGGUUCGCCAAUGUUGGCCAUGUCCGCGUGAACGUUGUUACAUAUUAUUUGCAUAAGUUAGGGUGCAGAGAAAACGCAAAAUUUGGAAAAUAUUUUCCAAAAAAUUGCUUAUACCGCUUAGAAAAAUAAAUGAAUUACCGCGAGAAUAGUUAGUCAUAAAUUGUUGUCGAUGAUGAAAACAUUUUUUGUUGACUAACUAUUUUAAGCUAACUAAUAUUUUCGGAAAAUAUUUUCCAAAUUUUGAGUUUUUUCAUGAAACAAAAGUAUCAAAUGAUUCGAAUAGCAUUUUUAUGUUAAAAUAAUUAGUCGAUCAUUAUCAAUUACAAUUUAGGUCUAAACAUUUUCGUGAACAAUAAAAAUAGUUUUACCCUCAUUUUCUAAAACGAUAUAGGUGACAUUUCAUUUUCUAAAACAAUAUAAGUGACAUUUCAAAAAAAAAAUAUUUACAAAUUAUUUAUUUUUGGCGAAAUAAACACAUCCUUAAUGAGCUAUUAUAGUCGUCAAACAAGAAGUUUCGGAUUCUUCUAUUUCGUAGUCACAAGACUAUGUUUUUAUCUGGUGAAUUGGCACAAUGAAGAUCCUGCCUGGUCUCUUAAUGUAAUCAAAGCCUACUGAUGACAUACUAGACAAUGACGUUGGAUUUGCGUAGCCACUUCAUAUAUAUUGCUGAAACAAUUACCUAAUCGGUCAUAAACCUAUUUUAUGAAUCUAAAUUCAGUCCAAUUUUUUUUUUUCGAAAUCAUGAAUAUAGUCUUCAAUCUUUGUGCAAAAUCCCAAUACAGUUCUUUUGGCCAACUUUCAUUAGAAAUUGCUAAAGUGACAUCAUAGUUGUCAUUGACUGUCCUACGUGACACACUGACGUGGACAACUUAUGGAUCACCACAUCAGCAAUAUGCCACAACAGUUUGUUCAAAAGACUAUGUUGAAAAUUUGCAUAAAAUUAUUAUAUUGGCAAAAUUAAAAAUUUUAGGGUUGAAUUGACGUCUGAGUAAUAGGUUUAGAAUUGAAUUGAUGAUUUUCCAUAUAUUGUCAAAUACCCGAAUAACCUUGACCUAAAAAUUGAUGACGUGGCUAGGGAAACGGUCAUGGGCAUGGCACACAGGUAGCAUUGAUGACAAUCGCAUCUGGAUCUAUAUUGAUUGCGACUCAUCCGUGUCUCUUAUUUACUUAAUCACCUACGUGAUUUAACUUGGUAGAUAAACAUUUACUAGCAAAGUUGUGGAUCGUCAUUUUACUAGUAAUGGCAAUGGAAUUGAAAACAUAAAAUGAUCGAGUGUCAAAGAAUAUGUUAAGGUUUUUAAAUAAGCAAGUCAUUUCCCAUUAUGUUUAAGCAUGUCCUUUACAUAAAUCAAGAUAAUAUUUCAUGAGAGCCUAUGUAGCAAUGCAAGUCCCUAAUAUGGAAAAAAGGAUGCGUUGCCUACCGCUAGGGUAGGUCAGAGGGAAAAAUGUUAAAAAAAUCUUAAAUUUUUUGCAUUUAUACCAAUUCAAUCCUAAACCUUUUUUUUGUGCCAAUUUAAUCAUAAACAUUUUCACUUUAUGCCAAUUCAGUCAUUUUGGCUGAAUUUUGCUGACUGAGCACCAGUUGGCUAAUGUGGCACGAUAACGUUGACGUUGACAACUUUUAAUAAUAUUUUAAUAUUUUUUAUUUGUUGAUUUUCUUCUUCUUUUUUUAUCUUUUUCCUUUUCUUUUUUUUUAUCUUUUUUUCUUCUCCUCCUCCUUCCAGCUAGUCGUCAAACCUCGACAACCAGCCAAAGGCGAUAGCCGACGAGGUUGAGGUCGAUCUUGCUGGCCACCGACGAGACUUGCAAUGGCCAUGAGGGCGGCGAGGCUCACCUUCGCGGCCGCCUAGUGCAAGGCCACCCACUUGGCCACUGGCGAGGGCUCGAGUCUCGUCAGUGGCUGGCAAGGCUCACCUAUCAUCGCCUCUGGCUAGUCGCCAAGGUCCGGCGACCAGCUAGAGGAAGGAAGAGGAGAAGGAAAAAAUGAAACAAGAAAAAGGAAAAGGAAAGGAACAAAACAUAUAAAAAUAAAAUAAAAAUAUUAUUAAAAUUUGUCAACGUUAGCGCUGAUUGUGCCACAUCAAUCGGCUGAUGUCUAAUGUCCAGUCAGCAAAAUCUUGCCAAAAUUUGCCGGAAAUGAGUAAAUUUACACCAAGUGAAAAUGUUUAUGACUAAAUUAAUAUAAAUGCAAAAGAUUUAGGACUUUUUUACUAGUAAUGGUAAUGGAAUCGAAAACAUAAAUUGAUCAAAUGCCAAAGAAUAUGUUAAAGGUUUUUAAAAUAAGCAAGUCAUUUUCCAUUAUGUUUAAGUAUACCCUCCACAUAAAGCAAAUAAUAUUUCAUAAGAGCCUAUGUAACAAUGCAAGUACCUACUAUGGAAAAAAGGACGCGUUGCCUACCGCCACUGUAGGUCAAACAUCUAUCAUAUCGUCGUAUUCUAUCACCUACUAUAGGCAAUAUCUCUCAUUUUGAGUACUUGUAUGGCAAUAUUCUUAAUUACAAUCUUCUUCAAUUUUUGAUAGUGCUUGUUUUGUCCAUCCUUGUGCAAAUGACCGCACGAAAUCAAAACAUCGUGCCCAUUCAUGUUGCUUCUUUGGGUAUGACAUUGUGUACAAACGGUACAAAUGUUUGGAUUUUGCCUCUAAUUAUCUUCAUGUGUCUCAUCAUGUUACAUUUUGGGAACACAAUAUUUUCUCAUCUCUUUGUCCUUUCAAAUCCUCUCCUUCUAUUGGCUUCUUUACCAAUCCUUAGAGUUGAGGCUUAUUCAGAUGUUGGUUGGGGUAGUAACCCACUUGAUUGUCGCUUCACUAUAGGCUAUUGCUUCUUUUAAGUUAACUCACUUAUCUCAUGGCAUGGCAUAAAAUAGACUACUACCACUUGAUCUAGCACCGAAAUUGAAUAUCUUACUCUUGCUAAUACAACAUCAUAGAACUAUGUUAGCAAUAAUUAUUAAAAGGCAUAAGAGCCCGUCAUAAUGGUGGAACAGUAAUUUAUAGCGACAACCGAAGUGCUAUUUAAAUAGCUUGUAAUGAUGUCUUCCAUGAGCACAUCAAGCAUAUUGAAAUAAAAUAGUCAUUUUCUACUAUUUCACGUGCUACGUGUUUUUGUACGACUCAUCUCAACUCUGUUGACUAAAUUGCUAUGUCAUCGCAAAAGCACAUUCACUUGAGCAUUUUCAUGAUCUUGUCUCCAAACUCUAGUUGACGUUUUAUACGUCACCUUAAGUAUGAGGGAAUAAUAGAGAUAUUUAAGAUAUUAAUGAGAUUUUAGGUAUCUUCCUUAUAGAUGGUAAUUGAUAUUAUAAUGUUCCGUUACUUUGGAUAGUUAUCAUGUAAAGCCUAUAAAUAGGCCCAUACACUCUCCAUUAAGUAGAUUAAAAUAUACAAAAAAUUAUUCCAAACAUAUUUCUAGAGUAAAAAUUUGUUCUACAAAUAGAAAAAUAAAAUUAAGUUAUCAAAGAGAUUUCUGUUCCAGAAAAAAUUUGGAAUGAAAAAAUUGUUUUGGAACAGACAUAUAAUGGCUAUCAUACACGCCCUCAGUUGCCAUUCAAAGUCCUACCCACAACCUAACCCAAGCUCCCUCACCGAAUGGGUGAGCCAAUCCAUAGAGUCGUCCAUUUUAGAAAGGCAACAAUUGAAGGAGAAAAACUACUAAGACUUUAAGCCCUAGUUGGGUCAAUUAUGCAUUGGGUGUGGGUCAAGCCGAAUAAAAAUGGGUCAAGAGAUCAUUUUUGAACCGACCGACUUGUUUGAUGGCCCCACUAGAGGAUGAGAUAGGGUUUGCUGAUCCACUUCAUAUAGUAAGAUCAAUUUCGAAAAUGACUUCGAUUAAAUGAAGAAUAAUACUCACAGAGUAAACAUCGUAUAAAUUAAUCUAAAAAAAUUGAACAUUUCUACUACUACAAAAUUCAAAUGAAUAAUUCAAUCCGGCAUAUCGAAAAAUUUAAAAAAUCACACACUCGCAUCGCAUCUCUUAUUUACAUGACAGGGACUGGACUGCCUUUGUUGUCGUAUUGACAGCCAUAGUGCAAUUCAUCUGGGACACCUUCGUCUUCUUGAACAUGAACAUAACUGUUACCUUCCCUUUGAGCUCGCCUUGGCUGUUCAACGUUAUGAGUUCCGAGCUCCCUAGAUUCGAACUGCUAGUGGAGCUCAAGCUCACGUUCACAUCGAUCUUCUUGGUGGACUUGAAGUUGGCCUUGCUCUUUGGAAUCGUUGCUUGCCCUACCUGAACGCCUCCGUAAAUGAAGCUAACCGUAGUCGCAUCGUACUUGAAGGGACCCCAGUUGGUAUUCUUGAUCCGGAUGGGAGCAACGAAGCUCAUGUCGAACGAGGGCGAGGCCUGAGUCCCGACGUUCAAGGUCUGGACGUCGAACUCGCCGACCCUGAACUUGGGGGACUUGAACUUCAUGAUGACUAGGACGAAGAAGACGGCCACGACGACCUGAAAGAUGACGAAGGCAGUGAUGCCGAUCGUCCACUUCAUCCUCUUAUUGCGCUUCGCCUCCUCGUGGCUCAGGGACUCAUGGUCGGGCUUCGACAUCGCCGAUCUCUUCUCUCUUUUUCCGAACAGAAGGUGGUGUUUCUGUGUGAUUUCGACCGGCUUUCUCUAGAACGAAUGUGGAAAUCUGGAGAA
rnacentral:lncRNA from 1 species